ensembl:lncRNA
AAACUUGAGGGAAGAAUGCUUACUGGAUGUCUGAGUUGGAUUUUGGUCUUUGGUUCAGGGAAGAGUUGCUGUGCUUAUCUUGUUCUGGAUGGGAUCGUCAGCUGCAGAUGUGAAGGUGUAUGACCUAUCUUGCAUCUUAUGACCUAUCAGGGUUUACCCAUAUUCCUCUGGGAUAGGAACACACCAUUGAUAGGUGUGUUUUAAAAAUCAGGGCAUUUAAUUUUGUGCUACCAGUGGACUCCACUGUACUUGAUCAAGAAAAAAAAAAUGCAGCCCUUGAGAAGAAUGAAUAUUAUCCUGAGAGAGUCAGAUGAGUCACCCUCUGAGACGUUAAGUGCUACCCUACUGUGAAGAGAUUUGAUUGACUGAACAAGUGAGUUAAAUAGAGUUUAGACUGUGAAGGAAAUUGUGAAUUAAUGGGCUUCAGGUCAAGCAAACAAGUGAUGAAAACAAUUUCUAAGAUAUCUUUUUUUAAAAAAUGUUUGUCUGUCUGUUUGAACAAUGAAAAAAAUGUAACAGCCUUGUUAUCACAAGGUUCUCAUUUCACAUAAUGAAAGCUUUUUUAGUUCAUUUGCAGAAACAGCUUGAAGGGUUAUGAAACUGCUGAAGGCUAGAUUGCACAAAACCUAUUUGCACUGAUGAGAUUUUUCUUCAUGUGAGCUGCUUGACUGAAGUCAAUGAAAGUCUUCAUAUAAACACAUUUCACCGUGUAAAGAACACUUUCAGUCGUUCGGUUCACAUUGACACAAUUGAAUGAAAUGAAUACGUAAAUUCUUGACCUAUUGAUGAUAAUAUGAAUUCCUCUAGACACUGAUUUAGUUUCUCAUGAUUACCUGAUAUUCUCUUGGCAUAGAAUAUUGGGAUAGAAUAUAGGGAUUAGAACAAAUAUAUUUUUCGUUUAGGAUAGUAUCACAUCAUGUUAAUCCAAACAAGGAAUUUCCAAGGUAGUUACUUUCUUAAUACUUGAAGAUCACACAUUUCUUGAGAAAUACCUUAUAUUUAUAAUAUUGCUUCUUAAUAAACUAGGUGUAGAAAUCAUGACAAUAUUACCAUGGCCAAUUGUGUGAGAUAUUUUAUGUGUGCUUAAAUUCUUGCCAAGGAGGUCAGUGUUGGAAAUCAUACUGCUGUACUGCUAUAAGAUGGGAAGAUUUCUGGUUCAGAAAACCAGUAAAUUUCCUACUUAGUUGGAGAUGAUUGAAUUAAAAGAAAUUACAACUAAACAGAAUUACAACAACAGAAAAUACAAUAAAUACAUACUUGGGAGUGAACUGAAAACAGGUGCAGUCUUUCCACAACUCAGUUACGGUUCAUGCAUGCCACAGGUGACUGAGCUUGAUACUUUGGUACAAGUCUAACCCCUUUUCAUCUUAAGUUUGGGACAAUUCUUGCAAAGCAAUUUGGUUCAACAUAUGGAUUAGUCUUGGGCAGUCAUUUAAGGACACUUAUAUUUGCCAUGAAAUGGACAUAACUGCUGGCUCAUCAAAGCUGGCAAUAGUUUCAAUAACAUGGUGGAGUGACUGAAUUUCAAAUCUGACAACAUUUAAAGUAGUGGUGAGAUAUACAGUGGUAGAAUUGUGGUAUUCUUCACUCAUUUUGGGAGAGGGAAGGUGUUUUCAGAUCUUUCCACUUUUAAUUUUAUUAUUUCAUUACUAUUUUAGGACAGUUGAAAUGCUAUUUUAAUGAACUGCGAUGAAAAUUGUGUUGAAAAUGAAGGGUAUAAAAGAGAUGAUCCACUCAGUUUUAGUUUUCCACUUGUUGGAGGUUCUUCUGGAGUACUUAAUCCCAUAAUUUGUCAGAACAAUUAAAACAAAGAAGCAAACAAGAGGAAAAAAAAAAAAAAGCAAGAGAGCGAGAGGUCAGUUUAUUUCGCAGUUGUUGCUGAUAUCCAUCAGUACCAGGUCCAAGUAUGUGAGCACUGCAGUUUCCUCUGCCUCUUGCAAUUAGUUCCAUUAUCAUUCAUGCAAUUGAGACUGAUCAUUUUCCUAUAACUUCACUGGUCCUAUCUUGUGCCUCAUGUCUUUGCUGUGACUUUUUUUCUAAAUAAGACCUAAAUUAGGCCAUGAAUUGAAUAUAAUUGUUUGAAUUGUUUGCCUUCAGAAUUGUAGAACUUACAUGAUUUCCCUCUCAGUUAUUACUCAAAUUGUAUCCUGUUAUUUAAAUGGUUACUGGAAACAAUAUGUUGUCAAUAUACAAGGAGAACAUAAAGAAUAUGUAAAAAAAAAAAUAAUCAGAUAUUUAUAUAUUUGCUUAUUUUUAAGUAUGGUAGUUUUAUUUACUAUGACGGUGAAAUUUUGUUCACACUAAUGGUGACUCAGUGUUUUGCUGAGUCUCAGUGAUUAAUAAAAUACAAUAACAC